rnacentral:rRNA from 1 species
CAGCCGCCGCGGUAAUACGAAGGGUGCAAGCGUUAAUCGGAAUUACUGGGCGUAAAGCGUGCGUAGGCGGUGAGUUAAGUCUGCUGUGAAAUCCCCGGGCUCAACCUGGGAAUGGCAAUGGAUACUGGCAAGCUAGGAUGUGUCAGAGGAUGGUGGAAUUCCCGGUGUAGCGGUGAAAUGCGUAGAGAUCGGGAGGAACAUCAGUGGCGAAGGCGGCCAUCUGGGACAACACUGACGCUGAGGCACGAAAGCGUGGGGAGCAAACAGGAUUAGAUACCCGGGUAGUCCCUGUCUCUUAUAC